rnacentral:lncRNA from 1 species
UGAGGACAGCCUUCACCAAAAAGGCCCCGCCUUCCCGUCCUCAACUCCCCCCACCCCCGAAAUGCCCCGGAAGUGCCUCUAAAAUGGAAGUAGCCUUUGCCAUGAGGAGGAGGGGCUGCGCAUGCGCAACAAGUUCGAAAGGGGAAGAUGGCGGAUGACAAGCUCACCUAGUUCCUAGCCUCUGAUAAAAUUGAGCAGGGCAUGGGACUGGGUCAAGUCUGCUGGAGCCAGCCUCUCCCUUGUCCUAGGAUUCUCUGCCCAAGCUUAAGGACUUGACAUUUCUCAAGAAGCAGCUGGAGCGCCUACAGCAGCGUGUGGAAGAUGAAGUCAACAGUGGCGUAGGCCAGGAUGGCUCGCUCUUGUCCUCCCCGUUCUUCAAGGGAUUCCUGGCAGGAU